UACGGGGGGAGCAAGCGUUGUUCGGAUUUACUGGGCGUAAAGGGCGCGUAGGCGGCCAGCGCAAGUCAGUUGUGAAAUCUCCGGGCUUAACUCGGAACGGUCAACUGAUACUGCGCGGCUAGAGUGCGGAAGGGGCAACUGGAAUUCUCGGUGUAGCGGUGAAAUGCGUAGAUAUCGAGAGGAACACCUGCGGCGAAGGCGGGUUGCUGGGCCGACACUGACGCUGGAUGCGCGAAAGCCAGGGGAGCGAACGGG
rnacentral:rRNA from 1 species